rnacentral:rRNA from 1 species
CGGCGGACGGGUGAGUAACACGUGGAUAACCUACCUAUAAGACUGGGAUAACUUCGGGAAACCGGAGCUAAUACCGGAUAAUAUAUUGAACCGCAUGGUUCAAUGGUGAAAGACGGUUUUGCUGUCACUUAUAGAUGGAUCCGCGCCGCAUUAGCUAGUUGGUAAGGUAACGGCUUACCAAGGCAACGAUGCGUAGCCGACCUGAGAGGGUGAUCGGCCGCACUGGAACUGAGACACGGUCCAGACUCCUACGGGAGGCAGCAGCC